rnacentral:rRNA from 1 species
GAGUUUGAUCCUGGCUCAGGAUGAACGCUGGCGGCGUGCCUAAUACAUGCAAGUCGAGCGAACGGACGAGAAGCUUGCUUCUCUGAUGUUAGCGGCGGACGGGUGAGUAACACGUGGAUAACCUACUAUAAGACUGGGAUAACUUCGGGAAACCGGAGCUAAUACCGGAUAAUAUUUUGAACCGCAUGGUUCAAAAAGUGAAAGACGGUCUUGCUGUCACUUAUAGAUGGAUCCGCGCUGCAUUAGCUAGUUGGUAAGGUAACGGCUUACCAAGGCAACGAUGCAUAGCCGACCUGAGAGGGUGAUCGGCCACACUGGAACUGAGACACGGUCCAGACUCCGUACGGGAGGCAGCAGUAGGGAAUCUUCCGCAAUGGGCAAAAGCCUGACGGAGCAAACGCGCGUGAGUGAUGAAGGUCUUCGGAUCGUAAAAACUCUGUUA